rnacentral:rRNA from 1 species
GACGAACGCUGGCGGCGUGCUUAACACAUGCAAGUCGAACGGAAAGGCCCUGCUUUUGGGGGGUGCGCGAGUGGCGAACGGGUGAGUAACACGUGAGUAACCUGCCCUUGACUUUGGGAUAACUUCAGGAAACUGGGGCUAAUACCGGAUAGGAGCUCCUGCUGCAUGGUGGGGGUUGGAAAGUUUCGGCGGUUGGGGAUGGACUCGCGGCUUAUCAGCUUGUUGGUGGGGUAGUGGCUUACCAAGGCGUUGACGGGUAGCCGGCCUGAGAGGGUGACCGGCCACAUUGGGACUGAGAUACGGCACAGACUCCUACGGGAGGCAGCAGUGGGGAGUAUUGCACAAUGGGAGGAAGCCUGAUGCAGCAACGCCGCGUGCGGGAUGACGGCCUUCGCGUUGUAAACCGAUUUCGCCUGUGACGAAGCGUGAGUGACGGUAAUGGGUAAAGAAGCACCGGCUAACUACGUG